CAACCUCAACUCAUAUGGGACUACCCCCUGAAUUUAAGCAUAUUAAUUAGGGGAGGAAAAGAAACUAACAAGGAUUUUCUUAGUAGCGGCGAGCGAAAGAAAAUCAGUUCAGCACUAAGUCACUUUGUCUAUAUGGCAAAUGUGAGAUGCAGUGUAUGGAGCGUCAAUAUUCUAGUAUGAGAAAUUAACGAUUUAAGUCCUUCUUAAAUGAGGCCAUUUACCCAUAGAGGGUGCCAGGCCCGUAUAACGUUAAUGAUUACUAGAUGAUGUUUCCAAAGAGUCGUGUUGCUUGAUAGUGCAGCACUAAGUGGGUGGUAAACUCCAUCUAAAACUAAAUAUAACCAUGAGACCGAUAGUAAACAAGUACCGUGAGGGAAAGUUGAAAAGAACUCUGAAUAGAGAGUUAAAUAGUACGUGAAACUGCUUAGAGGUUAAGCCCGAUGAACCUGAAUAUCCGUUAUGGAAAAUUCAUCAUUAAAGUUAUAAUAUUUAAACAAUAUUAUACAAAUAAUGUGCAUUUUUUCCAUAUAAGGACAUUGUAAUCUAUUAACAUAUUAAAUUUAUCAUAAAAUAUGGCUUAUAGUUUAUUCAAAUUAUUAUGCUUGCAUUUUAACAUAGAAUAAAUGUCAUUAAUUUGAUAAAGUGUUGAUAGACUAAUAAGAAUACAGUGCGUUAAUUUUUCGGAAUUAUAUAAUGGCAUAAUUAUCAUUGAUUUUUGUGUUUAUUAUAAGCACUUGUAUGAUUAACAAUGCGA
rnacentral:ncRNA from 1 species